rnacentral:rRNA from 1 species
UACGUAGGGUGCAAGCGUUAAUCGGAAUUACUGGGCGUAAAGCGUGCGCAGGCGGUUGUGCAAGACAGAUGUGAAAUCCCCGGGCUCAACCUGGGAAUUGCAUUUGUGACUGCAAGGCUGGAGUUUGGCAGAGGAGACUGGAAUUCCUGGUGUAGCAGUGAAAUGCGUAGAUAUCAGGAGGAAUACCGAUGGCGAAGGCAGGUCUCUGGGCUAUAACUGACGCUCAUGCACGAAAGCGUGGGGAGCAAACAGG